AGGAGACUUCACACACAAUGAACACUUUGAA
rnacentral:tRNA from 1 species